UCUAAAUCUCUUUGUUCCGUCUUCUUCCCCCGUAAGAGACGGAGAGACAGAAGAGGGGAAAAAAAGAACACCUACAAGUCUUAAACCCUUGAGAAGCACUAUGGAGGAUCGAAUCUAAUAUUUUGAGAUUCGUCUUCAUCAAACCCACCUGCGGAAAAUGUCAGUGCUCAUGGGCUCGAAGCAAUCUCUCGGCUUUUGUCUUCUUCCUUCUCCUUUGUAUACUUUUUAGAAGACUUCAUCAGGUUUUAGCAUCGGGACCCGCGUCAAAAAAGCAGCCCUUUUCACCAUAGAAGCAAUGGUUUAUCCGCAUACACUUCAGUCGGGUAACGUGUUGAAUGCCUGAGUUCUCUUUUCCGACUGUUGUAUGGAGUUGAGUUAAUGGCUACUCUAUAGUGGUCCUGUUUGAUGGAUUCUCAGCGUUUUCUGAUUUAUAGUUGAUCCUGAAUAAUAAGCUGUUCAGUUUUUUUGUUUUUUUUUUUCAAUUUAAAUUAGCCAACUUGCGGCUUAAAUUGGCUGAUCAUGGAAUUGAUGCUCAGAACUGUACUCGGGGCAAUACAGUUGCUUAAUAUUAUCCCAAGUUUGUCAGCUACAUGGAAUUGCUUCAUAGUUCUUCAUAAAGGUGGAGUAAGGGUGAGUAUGACAAGAAUUUCAUGAAAGACAAGUUCCAUUAGAGAAGGUUGAAAGAAAAGUUUCUAUGGAGAGUUUAGAGCUAGACCCUCUCUGUGACGAAAUUGUUAUCUUGGGCAUACUUAUUACUACUCAUUCUUCUAUAUUUACAGCUUCCUUGAGAGAAUGAAAUAUGUAAAUUUGACACUUCAUUUAUUUGAUAUAUCUUAUUUCGUUCUUGGUUAUGCUUCAGAUGUGAGGAUUAUUUCGCUGCAAGAAUGAUUUCAGCUGAAACAAUCAAGAUAAAUCGGGUUAUGCAGAAAAGAAUAGGUGAUGAGGUACUUGCAAGUCCUGUAGUCCUGACUCUGUUUUUGGUUGCUUUUCCUUUCCUUUUCUUUUUAUGCUCUGCUUUAGCAUUAGAAACUAGCUGAAGUUGUUCUGAAGUAGUCAAGAGUUUAGAUUAGAGAGGUUCUGUAAUAAAAAGAAAAAAAAUUUGGACAGGGCAACUGGUCUGUCCUCAGAUUCUUCUAUACCACCUGAGAGUCCUGAGAGGAGAUCAAACAGACGGUCAUGAUCCAGUUUGGUGAGUUGACAGACAGCUAAACACAUUACAUAGACGUAUCGAUAUCAUUUGUCUUCUAUUUUUUUCUUAUUCCUUUUUGUGUGGCAAAAGAUCUUUUUGUGAGAGUGUCUUACUUAACCUUUUGUAACUAUUUACAGACUGUCUUUGUGUUAUGUGGGGAUGGUUUCCGUGUUCUCUCUUCUUCUGUCUGGUGUGGGUCUGAUCCAAAAAUAAAAACGUGAUUAUAGAUUUGAUUUUUGUACAGCUCGAUUUGGUGAUC